GAUGAACGCUGGCGGCGUGCCUAAUACAUGCAAGUCGAGCGAACAGACGAGGAGCUUGCUCCUCUGACGUUAGCGGCGGACGGGUGAGUAACACGUGGAUAACCUACCUAUAAGACUGGGAUAACUUCGGGAAACCGGAGCUAAUACCGGAUAAUAUAUUGAACCGCAUGGUUCAAUAGUGAAAGACGGUUUUGCUGUCACUUAUAGAUGGAUCCGCGCCGCAUUAGCUAGUUGGUAAGGUAACGGCUUACCAAGGCAACGAUGCGUAGCCGACCUGAGCGGGUGCUCGGCCACACUGGAACUGAGACACGGUCCAGACGCCUACGGGAGGCAGCAGUAGGGAAUCUACCGCAAUGGGCGAAAGCCUGACGGAGCAACGCCGCGUGAGUGAUGAAGGUCUUCGGAUCGUAAAACUCUGUUAUUAGGGAAGAACAAAUGUGUAAGUAACUAUGCACGUCUUGACGGUACCUAAUCAGAAAGCCACGGCUAACUACGUG
rnacentral:rRNA from 1 species